UACGUAGGGUCCAAGCGUUUAUCCGGAAUCACUGGGCGUAAAGCGUGCGUAGGUGGCGUGUUAAGUGUGAUGUUAAAUCGCGGGGCUCAACCCUGUCGGUGCAUCGCAUACUGGCAUGCUAGAGGAAAGCAGAGGCAAGUGGAAUUGGUAGUGUAGCAGUGAAAUGCGUAGAUAUUACCAGGAACACCAAUGGCGAAGGCAGCUUGCUGGGCUUUUUUCUGACACUGAGGUACGAAAGCGUGGGGAGCGAACAGG
rnacentral:rRNA from 1 species